ACUAAUUUGGCAGAUUUUAGUGUAAUAAAUUUAGGAUUUAUUUAUAUUGUUAUAUUUAACAAUAAUUAGUA
rnacentral:tRNA from 1 species